UGAGUAACGCGUAGGUAACCUGCCUUGUAGCGGGGGAUAACUAUUGGAAACGAUAGCUAAUACCGCAUAACAAUGGAUGACACAUGUCAUUUAUUUGAAAGGGGCAAUUGCUCCACUACAAGAUGGACCUGCGUUGUAUUAGCUAGUAGGUGAGGUAAUGGCUCACCUAGGCGACGAUACAUAGCCGACCUGAGAGGGUGAUCGGCCACACUGGGACUGAGACACGGCCCAGACUCCUACGGGAGGCAGCAGUAGGGAAUCUUCGGCAAUGGGGGCAACCCUGACCGAGCAACGCCGCGUGAGUGAAGAAGGUUUUCGGAUCGUAAAGCUCUGUUGUAAGUCAAGAACGGGUGUGAGAGUGGAAAGUUCACACUGUGACGGUAGCUUACCAGAAAGGGACGGCUAACUACGUGCCAGCAGCCGCGGUAAUACGUAGGUCCCGAACGUUGUCCGGAUUUAUUGGGCGUAAAGCGAGCG
rnacentral:rRNA from 1 species